CCCCAAGCCGUCAGGCCGAGGGCACGCCUGCCUGGGUGUCACGCAACGUCGCUCCCCCCCAAAACGACCCUAGACCCCCUCGGUCCGGGGGCGAACGAAGGGGGGACGGAAGAUGGCCUCCCGUGCGCUCCCCGCUCGCGGUUGGCCCAAACGCGGGUCCUCGGCGAAGGCAGCGCCGCGACGAUCGGUGGAGAUGCCCGCUGGGCUUCCCUCGUCGCGAGCGCCUGCCCUCCCGCGCGGACCCUACCGGAGACCCCGAAACGCGUCGCUCGAUCGACGCUCGCGUCGCGACCCCAGGUCAGGCGGGAACACCCGCUGAGUUUAAGCAUAUCAAUAAGCGGAGGAAAAGAAACUUACCAGGAUUCCCUUAGUAACGGCGAGCGAACCGGGAAGAGCCC
rnacentral:rRNA from 1 species